rnacentral:lncRNA from 1 species
UUCUCCAGCAGCUUUGCCUGCUGGGGAGGCACAGAGCGCUGGACUGGAGUCGCUCUGAAAAUGGGGCCUGUUAACCGUGAAGUGCUGACAUGCUACCGACAUCCAGAUGUGUUGGGCACUCACACUGACUGCUUUAACUAAGGACCUUCUUUCUAGUAUAGAAGGGCUGGUCUUUGCCUCUAGGCUGCUGCUUGCAGAAGUUAGGCCUUUAAGAGGGCUGCUACUAUUAACCCACUCGCCUAAGACAGUAGAGAGAGGCUGGGGUACCUUACAGAUAAUCAGGCCUUAGUUUUGACCAACACACUUCUGCAGCGGGACCUUGGGUCUGGCAUGGAGAAAGUGCCCUUUGUCUCGGCCCAGCAGUCCCUAAACUUCACCCAAGGUUUCCACAUGGGUCUCACCAGUGAAGCAGAGUCUAUUUCAGUAUUGGGAAAAGAAACUAGCCACUGUGAAUAAUGGCGGGUACACAGCUAUACUCCCCUGCUCGGGCUGCUAAGGUAGUUUUGGCCGCCAAAUUUGAGGUUCUCCUGGGUUGUAGAAUGAGAACUGGUUAAGACCCACAUACAGUUAUUAGUCUGGGGCUGCCGCUACAACCCGCCAGGCAAGGAGACAUUCAAAUUAUUGUAGUAUUUUUGUUCUGUCUACAUGUACGUCUGUGUACCACAUUGUGUGCUGGUGCCCACAAAGGCCAGGACAGGCACUGAAUCCCUUAGAGGGGUUAAGGAGCCCUGUGGAUCAAACACAAAUCCUCCAGUACAGCAGCAAGUUCUAAUUUUUUGUUGUUUUGGUUUUUCAAGGCAGGGUUUCUCUGUGUAGCCCUGACUCUUAAGGAACUUGCUGUGUAGACCAGACUCCUCCUGAACUCAGGUCUCCAUGUUUCUGCCUCGGAGAUUAAAGGCAUGUGCCACCUUGGACCUAGCUAACAGAAAGUGCUCUUUUUUUUUUUUUUUUGGUUCCCCCCCCCCCCCCCAAGCUGGGGACCGAACCCAGGGCCUUGCGCUUCCUAGGCAAGCGCUCUACCACUGAGCUAAAUCCCCCAACCCCCAGCAAGUGCUCUUAACCCGAGACACCUCUCCAGCCACAGAUCUUGCUAUGUAGCAGGAUGGCCCCCACCUCCUGCCUUAGUCCCUUAAGUUCCAGGAUUCCAGGUAUAUGUUACCUGAUCAGGUGUGGAAAUGUUCUCGUGUAAUCUUUAUGCCCUACUGUCAAGCAGUGGUUAAGUCUGCUUUCCCUGUUAUUGAUCCCUGUGGUUAAGUGAGGAGUCCCUCCACGCUGACCUGUCAUUUCAUCAAUAUACCGUGAGGAGCCAGCACCUUUAACCCUUUUCUUCCCUCGCACAUUGCACAAAGCCUGUGGGUUUGAACUUCGCUGUUGAGUAUUUAACAGUGGGGUCCGUGUGAGACAAUGAGUUGAGUUCUAGCCCUUGUCUUUGUAGAGCUCCUUUGAAAGCUGUCUGCCUGCAUUGUUUUGUUUUGUUUUUUAAAAAAAAAGCCUAGUGUACAAUUUGUCUCUAGAAUGAUAACACAGAGCUUGCUAAAAAAGUGUUUUUAUUUAUUUGGCUUUGACAUCUUACUAUAUAGUUCUGACUGGCUUGUAACUCACUAUGUGGCUGCCUCUGUCUCCUGAAUAUUGGGAUUAAGGAAAGUGUAUACCACCAUACCUGGCUGUAAAAAAAUUUGGGUUUAUUUAUUUAUUUAUUUAUUUAUUUAUUUCAGACAAGUUUUCUCUAUGUAGCCCUGGCUAUCCUAGAACUUGCUUUGUAGAGCAGGCUGACCUCAAACUUGGGGAUCUAUCUGCUUCUGCCUCCUGAGUGCUGGGGUUAAAGGUGUGCAAGAUUUAUUUAUUUAAUUUUUUUGUUAGAUGUAGGAAUAUUCUGUCUUCGUGUACACCUGCCUCCUAGAGAGGGCAUCAGAUACCAUUACAGAUGUUGUAAGCCACCAAGAGGUUGCUAGGAAUUGAACUCAGGACCUCUGGAAGAGCAGUCAGUGUUCUGCUGUGCCAUCUUACCAGGUCAUCCUAAAUAAAAAAUGUUUUUGUUUUGAAUAAAAUUUACUAGCUGGGUGUAGUGGUGCAUGCCCUUAGUUCUAGCACUUGGGAGGAAGAGGCCAUAUAUCCCAAGCCAGGCCAGUCUACAAAGUUCCAGGAUAGCCAAGGCUAUCUGCCCUGAAAAGCCAAAACAAAUGAAUAAAUAAAAUGUAUUCUAUU